rnacentral:lncRNA from 1 species
GAAAAAGUAUAAGAGAGAAAGUAUCCCUAUCAAAUCCAGACAAGUCUGAGGAAAGUAUGCAUUCCUCUUUCUAUGAAAUCAUAAAGCCUGACUGUAGGAAAAUCUUCUAACUGAGCAAGCAAUGCUUUCUGAUCCUGUCCUAAACUGAGUCUCUGGUUUCUGAACAGUUCCAUCUACUUAUUCUUCAGGUAUGCACUGUGGCACAGAGUGAAAAGAAGGGACAUGCCCAGUUGAGAACAAGAGGCUUGUAAUAUCACAUAAUUAUACAGAAUCACUGAAUUGUGGGAUUGGAAGGGACCUCUGGAGAUCAUCUAGUCCAAUCCCUAUGCUAAAGCAGAUUCUCUACACAGUUAACUAAGGAUAAUGCAUACAGCUGAGAAAAUGAUUUUGAAAUUUAAGAGAAGUAAAAAGCCAACAUAAAAUCAGAGGUUCAGCUGUCAUUUAAAAUGUUCUUUUGAGAGGUCGAGAAAUUGAUCACGGGUGAACUAGCAGCAGGU